CAGUUAUUAUGUAGCCUACGUUUCGCGGCAAUUUCAAAGUUCGUGGCGCUAAAACACGCGUUCAGUACGUGACCUUGGCCACAUUUUUAAUACAUUGCUUUAAGCACGCAUCGCAGUGUUUUAUUACGACGCUUCAGAUGUUCAAAGCAGACUGGUGUUCAAAGCAACCCAGUAACAAGGUCGAACCUCCCACUGACCCCAGCAGACCGUCCCACUGAAUGACCACUGAGGCCCACCAUGAACUCCAUCUGUCCACUGCUUUCAUUUGAAGACCCCUCAUACAGCUCAAUCCCCUCCAGCAAGAACUGUACUCACUUAAACGAGUCUCUCGAGUAUCAGGCGUUUGUGCUGCUGAACCAUCUGCGGUCCUUUACAUCUGUGCAGCAUCAACAGCAAUCACUGUCUCUGUGGGGCUCCACCUGUAGCCACUGUCACAUGGCCACGCUUUUACCCCAUUUCUUUCCAUUUUUUUUGCUGUUAUUGCAACAUAAAAAUAAACUGCUCCUGUAUUUUUUUUUUUUUCAAAACAGCCACCAAAUCCUAAAAUCAGUCAAACAGAGAAUGAA